rnacentral:rRNA from 1 species
AUUGAACGCUGGCGGCAGGCCUAACACAUGCAAGUCGAACGAGUGGCGGACGGGUGAGUAAUGUCUGGGAAACUGCCUGAUGGAGGGGGAUAACUACUGGAAACGGUAGCUAAUACCGCAUACCAUCAGAUGUGCCCAGAUGGGAUUAGCUAGUUGGUGGGGUAACGGCUCACCAAGGCGACGAUCCCUAGCUGGUCUGAGAGGAUGACCAGCCACCCUGGAACUUAGAACCGGUCCCGACUCCUACGGGAGGGAGCAGGUGGGAAUAUUUGACCAUUGGCGCAAGGCUGAUUCAGCCCUGGCGCGUGUAUGAAGAAGGCCCUCGGGUUGUAAAGUACUUUCCGCGGGGAGGCGUUACCCGCAGAAGAAGCACCGGCUAACUCCGUGCCAGCAGCCGCGGUAAUAC